AGUCCUAGGGAACCCAAAGUCAAGAUACCCUAUUUCGCCGCCUCCGCCUCGCCAUCGGCCAUUGUCGGUCUUCCACUUUGCAGGAAGGAGAUGGAGAAGUAGAAGAAGGAAUGGAGCAGGUCUUGUUUGAUGACAAGAUGUGCUGUUUUGUACACCAGAUAAAAUCCAUGUUUUUUUGCAACAUCAGCUGCAGAUAAGGACCAUCCAUGAUUGGCUCAAUGGACCUAUCAAGCUCAGUUGUUGACGAUGAGGCAAUGAAGGAAGAGUGGGUGGUAGUUAAAAAACGUAGAAUUAUAAUUUUGGUUCCUCCAGCUGGAGAAUCUCAAUCUGUGGUUCCUAAGGUAAAAUCUACCAAGUCAAGAAGAAAUAUCCAAAUCUUGGGUAGUCCUAAGAGAAGGGCUAAAAGGAUUCCAAACAGAAAAAGCUCUAGACCUUCGAAAAAGUUGUCAGACAAUCAACAUAUGAACAAGGAUGAAUUUGAGAAACCUUCUCAAGUACUUCCUUUAUGUCAAGCACAAGCUAAUCCAGGGAAAUCAAGAUAUCUGAGGAGGAACAAAAAUCUUGAUCCUUCAAUUGCAAGUGGAAAUUGGAACAAGAGGACCAUGGGCAACAAUCAUGAUCAUUUGUACAGCAUACCUUUGAUGCAUCGUGAACCAAUAACUCAAGAUCUGCAAAACAAAAACAUUGUGGCUCACUUUGAAAAGCAAACAAUGAUGCCCUCUCACAAAAUUGCAGCAAGUCUAAGGAGGCUACCAGUUGUUAGGUCACAUGUUGUAGAUUACAAAUUGCGUGCAUUGAACCUUGAGAGAAAGCUCCAGCUAUUAGGUGGGCUCAGAACCUGGCUGCUAUCUCAAGGGCUUGAGCGUUUCAUAUGUAUUUUUGAGAGGGAAAAGGUAGGAAUCUAUCAGUUAGUCAAUCUUACAAUGGGCAAACUCAAAGAUAUGGGUGCAAAUGCAGUUGGGCCAAGGAGGAAACUGAUUUAUGCCAUUGAGAAUCUCUGCAGGCCUUCUUAUUUUGAGGAUUGCCAAGAUUAACCUCUUCAAAUGAGUAUUUUGUCAACCAUAUCUAAUUUUGUUAGCAAAUUCAUGCUGUACAAGAUUUUUGAUACUUAAUACACAGAAAUAUGUUUUUGAAAGAGCAAGAACCUUGGUGCUCUACCUAAUGGAUACUGGUAAGCCAGCACUCUUAUUUUGAAAUAAUGUGUCUAAGUUUUCAAGAUAUUAUUUAAAAUUUAUUUUGAUAUUUAAUAUUGUUGUUGUAAGUUUUAUCCAUCUCUAGGGUGAAACUUGGCACUUGUUUUUCUUGAGGAGGCACUUUGUAUCUGCUGGAAAAGUCAACAUUUGAUAAAAUUUGAGACCUGUCGUAGGAAUAAGUGCACUUCACAUUGUGAUGUAUUGUUUCCUUUUACCUGAUGUUUGGCAAAUAAAGUGAAAAAAGACAUUCGAAGGGAUCAUAUAUGAGGUGUGAGGUAUUCCAAUGUGAAUUUAAUAGCUUCUUCAGUUAUUGGAAAAAUUGUGUUAUCUCUUUCAAGGCUUUGUAAGGAUAAUUAAUCCCAGUCUCAUCAAAUCUCUAAUCUAGUCUUUCUAGUUUGCGAAAAAGCAUGAAACAUAUAGAAUGCUUUUAGGAGUUGUCAUUCAUUAAAUUAAAUUUGCUGCCAAAGACAAUAUCCAAUAAGUCAAUCACUGUUGUUAACGAGUGGAUCCAUGAAUUUGGAGCUUCACACUUCUUUUUAAAUUGGAGCUUCACACUUUUUCGAGUCCAUGAUGAGAAUAUCCUUGGCAAUGUGGACACCCAAUCCUUAUAUUUCAAGGCUUUGCUGAGUGAGUUCAUUGCCCUCUGUUUGGAGAUAUUUAACUUAUAGUUCAUUGUUAGAACAACUAUGAACAGUUAGAUGUUUUUUUAUCUCCUAAAGGAGAAUGAUUUAUUAGUGAAGAUGGAGAAUCAGGGGCACAUCAUCCCUGCAAAUGAGUUGCAUUAUCUCUCCAAUAUCAGAUAGGGGCACUAAUAGGCUUUAUUUUGUUGAAAAUUUUGUUGGAAGGUUUGGGAAGAUAAUUGCACUCUUGAGAUCUCCUUUCUUCAAAAUAUCCUUUCAGAUGGAGUUUUAGAACUAGUUGAGCAUUUUCGAAGUUAUAGAACUCCAACAGCAGUGUUGCUUUAGUUUAGUAAAAAUGUUCAUUUUGGUAGAAAGAAUGGGUGAUUUUUUCUGCAGGAAGGACAUUUAUUAUAAAGCCGCAUUAAUACAUUAACUGUUUCAGGUUCUUAGGUAUAAUUAUAAAUGAUAAAAAGAUGGAUUAAAAAUGCCAUAGCAAGCUUUACAGUGAACUAAAUAGACAUGGAUGACUUCCAGAGAAACACAUGAACAUGCAAUACACGAGUGGCUAUUUUCAAUACAAAGUGACAGAGGUAAUGAUUUAUUUUCUUCUUCUUGUCUAUCUCUCUCCUCUUUGCUCUGGGGCGAGCCCACCUUUUCCACAGUUUGUCAGACCAAAUCCUUGGCAAUCAUAGCAACUAAAACAUGCAACUCAGCAGUUGAAAUUGGAGAUCUGAGGCAGCUUGGCAGCCCCAACUGAAGUGUGUAUGCAGCUUUGCAAGCACAUUUAUCAAGGCAGGAGGACAUCAGUAAACUGAUCAUACUUGUUCCUCUCCCACACGAUGUGCGCAGUACCGCAAUCCAUGCUGAAAGAAAUGUCUUCACCUUUGCCCUCCAUUAGUGCAUGUCCAGAGCUUUCAGAAGCUUGCUCAUGGCACUGCCACCAUGUCACAGAAGAGACAGAAAUUUUUAAUCUUAGAACAAGUUAGAGCAGUGCUUUAAUCAUGGACAGGGAGUGAAAAAAUUUUCAUACAUGGCAUGCAGUGUUUCAGGAACUUGCCGUGGUGCAUAUUGCUCACUGCCCUUCAGAUACUGGAUGCUAAUGUUUUCUCUCUGCAAUGCUCUUGUUUGCUCCAAGGACAUCCUACUUUUAUCAGCAAGGAUUGCACCAAUCCAACACACAUACUAUUUCGAUGUCCUAGCAAUGAAUGAGUGUUGUUUGUCAAUUGUGAACUGAGUUGAUGAGCAGAUGUUUAAAUUAUCAAACAAAAGGCGAUGAGUGAUGGCACAGGGGCCACUGCAUGCUGGCUUCUGACAUUACAGUGGAAAUUGACUUGUUCUCUAUGACUGAAUUGUUUGUCUGAGUGAAUUUACUUCAAGAAUCCCUCUGAAUUAUGUCUCCCAUGUGAAGUGGGGGCUUCCUUUGUUUCCAUUAGCUUCACAAGCUAAUCAUUCAACAAGAACCAAGUGUGAAAUCACUGGAGGAUAGUUCAUGGGAACAAUAAGUUUAUUUAAAAACUCCUUGAAGCUCUCAAGAGGAGAGAAGUCAAAAGCAACUUCAGGUUGGAAAUGGCAUCACCUGCUACAUAUUAUAUACAAUGUAAUGCUUGAUUAUAUAUGUUUUUUAGUGUGCUCACAGUUCAUAAAAAGUAAUGAAGACUUUGAUCAAAAAGACCUUGGCAGAAGGGUCAUCCUUUGACCUAGUUGAUGUGGGUGCAGUCUUCUAUGCAUAUGACACCUUUUGAAUGCAGAAAAAGAUGAAAGACAUCUUUGUUUAA